rnacentral:rRNA from 1 species
GACGAACGCUGGCGGCGUGCCUAAUACAUGCAAGUCGAACGGAAAGGCCCUUCGGGGUGCUCGAGUGGCGAACGGGUGAGUAACACGUGGGUGAUCUGCCCUGCACUUUGGGAUAAGCCUGGGAAACUGGGUCUAAUACCGAAUAGGACUCCGGACUGCAUGGUCUGGGGUGGAAAGCUUUUGCGGUGUGGGAUGGGCCCGCGGCCUAUCAGCUUGUUGGUGGGGUGAUGGCCUACCAAGGCGACGACGGGUAGCCGGCCUGAGAGGGUGACCGGCCACACUGGGACUGAGAUACGGCCCAGACUCCUACGGGAGGCAGCAGUGGGGAAUAUUGCACAAUGGGCGCAAGCCUGAUGCAGCGACGCCGCGUGGGGGAUGACGGCCUUCGGGUUGUAAACCUCUUUCAGCACAGACGAAGCGCAAGUGACGGUAUGUGCAGAAGAAGCACCGGCCAACUACGUGCCAGCCGCCGCAGUAA